rnacentral:rRNA from 1 species
UACGGAGGGGGCAAGCGUUGUUCGGAAUUACUGGGCGUAAAGGGCGCGCAGGCGGCUGCUCAAGUCAGGCGUGAAAGGCCUGGGCUCAACCCGGGAAUUGCGCUUGAGACUGGGCUGGCUUGAGUGCGGGAGAGAUGGUGGAAUUCCCAGUGUAGAGGUGAAAUUCGUAGAUAUUGGGAAGAACACCGGUGGCGAAGGCGGCCAUCUGGACCGCAGCUGACGCUGAGGCGCGAAAGCGUGGGGAGCAAACAGG